rnacentral:rRNA from 1 species
GACGAACGCUGGCGGCGUGCCUAACACAUGCAAGUCGAACGGAAAGGCCCGGCUUUUGGGGGGUGCUCGAGGGGCGACCGGGUGAGUAACACGUGAGUAACCUGCCCUUGACUGUGGGAUAACUUCAUGAAACAGGGGCUAAUACCGGAUAGGAGCUCCUGCUGCAGGGUGGGGGUUGGAAAGUUUCGGCGGUUGGGGAUGGACUCGCGCAUUAUCGGCUUGAUGGAGUGGUAGUGGCUUAGCAAGGCCUUGACGGGUAGCCUGGCUGGGAGGGUGACCGGCCCAAUCGCGCCUGGGAUGCGGCCCGGCCCACACCGGGACGGAGCGGAGCAGUAUGUUGCACUAUGGGCGGAGGCCUAGUGCAGCCCAGCAGCGUGCGGGAUGACAGCCUGCGGUUUGUAAUCCGCUUUCGUCUGUGCCGGGGCGUGAGUGACGGUACUGGGUGAAGAAGCACCGGCUAACUACGUG